CUUGCACUUCGGAAAGAAGGAGCUCUCCUUAGGCUGGGAGGGGCCAAGCCGCUGGCCCGUGAGCCUGGGGCAGCUCUGGACUGUGCUUGCUGUCCUUGAGGAGAAUGCAGCCAGCCCAGGGCAAAUCAGAGCCAGGCAGGAAGAAGACCUCCUUGAGAAGAAAACGGGUGAGUGAAGGCAACAAGCAAUUGACAUGGAUCGAGCAUCUACACUGGAACAUGGCCCUAACAGUGGGCAGCAUGAAACUGAGGAACACAGCAGGAAGCUGAUUUAGGCAAACUCAGCAGGAAGUGUUCCCUGUGAACCCAUGAGACUUCAUCCCUGCGUUGGUCUGGCUGGCUUUCCCUGUGAGAUACAGGUUCCUCCUGAAGAGCUGAAGCUCCAUUCCAGCUCUAGACUUCUCCUUGCUUUCAGACUUCAAGAUGAGAAGCAUUUUUCCAGUCCACAAGUGUUAGAGGACACUGCCGAUGAUGUGUGUUUUGCCCAGGCUGGACUCAGCUUCUUUGUCUCGCAGCCUGGCGAAGAGGCAGUGCUGUGCCAGGAAAUAGCACCCAGGCAGGACUCCAGGGUGGGGACCGCUAAUCUGGCUUUGCCACAAUUUUGAAAGAAGAGUCAUGCUUCAAUUAAUAACAGACAACGGAGUCAAUAUGAAGGGAGCAGAGACAAUGAUGUGAUCAAAUGCCAAGAAAUGACUGACAGCAGAAAAAAUAUCAUGACCACUGUGGGAGGAGGUACUUUCUCUUUGUCAGAAGAACAGAAGCAAAUGGUCUGCUUAUAGCCUUUUAUGUGACGAUGUGCCCUUUCUGCCACUGCAAGGGAAAGAGUCAUCUUUGCUCCUCCAUUUUGGUUUAUCCUAAGAAAGACCAACACUAUGUCUAGCCCAGAGAGAGAAACACAUAAAAUAAAUACAAGUUAAAUCUUCAAUGGGACAUCAAGUUCCAUGUACAAGGCUAACCUAGACUAUAAAGUCCUUGAAAAUGUACACUUGAUAAGAGUAGGGGUCUUGCCUGCCUUAUCCACUGCAUAGCUCCAGUCAAGAGAAGUCAUUGCCACGGAAAAGGCACCCAACAAACAUGCCUUUAACUUGUUGAAUGAACCCAUCAAAUUCCUGAUAGUGGAAGUUUGGACACUGGAGUCGCAGGUGGGGAAAGAAACCAUGAUGCAAUAGGACCCCAAUUACACGUGGGUUCUGCUUAUGUUAGAAAAGCUUCCUGACUUUGUGUGCAGUCAAGUCCUGUGGCUUGUGGCCAAGGGAGGAUCUUUUCUUUUUUACCCAUGGAAGAUGACAUUGGUAUGUUGGAGUAAUGAUCCAGAAGAUAAACAUGAAUACAGACAAAUUCUGAAUUUGGAUUCAAAUAACAAGUUGCACAAAAACAAGGUACUCAGUUAUUUCUGAGUAUUGCUCUGUGCGUGGCACUGUGCUGUACAUUGAGGAUAUGAAGAUGAGUAAGUCUCAGUCUAUAUCUUUAGAGACCUCACAGCCUGGAAAGAGAGUUAAAAAAUAAUUACUAUUCAACAUGGCAAUGGUUAUAAAGGAGCAGAUUUUCCAAACUGGUGUUUCAAGGAACAUUCUUUGGCAGGAUGUUAAAAACAGGAAACAGCAAGCCUGAAAAAGGAAAUUGACGAAGAAACAAUUUGGUUAUUCUUGACUCAGUGGCCAAGGAGGGAACACAGAUGCAAGGAAGACUGGGAAAUGCAGUAUACAGCUGGAGACAUCAUUGCCCUAAAUAAAAAUAGGACUCUUACCAAGAAGGGAGAGGAGAAUGGAUAUUGGGUGGCAUCACAGUCUCUCACACCUGAGCAUCUGAUUCUGUCAGAAGUUAAAUGAUGACCUCUCCUGUGGAUCCCUGGGUUCUUAUGAAGCAUGAGUAUAAUACAAGAUGUCAACAGGUAUUGCAAAGAUACUUAUGGAGCACCCCCAUGUUUGAGGAGCUGUGCGAGGCCUUGGAGUUGAAGCCGUGAGUAGAAAGACAAAGGCUCGGGCUCAGGAGCUUAUAUUCUAGUGAGAAGAGUGACAAUGAAGAUGCAGCUGCCAGGAUCUACCACAACCUGUACAGGAUGUUUUGGGACAGCGACUUGGAGCAGCAUUUGGUGGGAGAGGACGGAAGCUGUGAGACGUCAGCUCUGAGCCCUGAGUCCAGGGCUGGUCCUGUGGAGACAGGGGUUGCUAUGUCAUGAGCAGUGUGUGUGUGAGUAUGAGGUGUGGGAGGAAAGGUAGUAAGAAGCUGAGAAAAUGCCUCAAGCUGACCUCUCCCAAGGGAGUUGGAGCCAUGAGUACCUGGGCACCCUGAGGUGAACACUCCUUGCUCUGUGGGUCUCUAGUAUCUAACAAUAAGACCCCACCUGCACCUAUUGAUACACCUCAGGGUGAGAGGCAAAGAAACAUCACUGGGAAACUACAGACACGCAAUCAGGACUUUUCUCUAAUGUAAAGAGAACUUAGGGUCAGGAUUCAGGGAUCAAAUCUAGCUUCCUUGUUUGGCCUCUCUGAGUCUUUGUCCCUUUGCCUCUAAAACUGAGUAUUUCCUUGCCUUAUCUGAGCUUAUGUAAGGGCUAAAUGGGACAUGCUAUACCAAAAACAAUUUAUGGAGACCCAGUUCACUAUAAGAGUACAAUGCAUUCAUCUUCUUCAUCUUUGUAACUUUCGCUACUCCUUUCUGUUUAAAUUGAAACAGAUCUGGAGGCUUGUUUUCUAGAGGAACAACAAUGAAAAAAACAAGCAACAGGGAAAGUAGUCUUUGGUUAGUGAGUAUUCAGGAAAUUUCGGGGCAAAACAAGGAAGGUGAUUGGAACCCUAAUAAGAUCGCUUCCAGCAUAAGGAUGACAGUGAUGGCAGAGAGGAGACUUCAUACUUGGACAUAGCUUUGUGAGCUCCUAAAGAAGCCCAGCUCAUAGUCUGCCCUUCCAGAUAGCCUGCUGAAGGAACAGUGAAGUUUGGAGCUGAAACAGCUUCCUGAGCAGAAAUCUAGUUCAUUUCCCCAUGCUCAGGAGAGUGGCUUAGAAGCCACCAUCUCUGCCUUUUUUUCCUGUUGCUGUCUGUGGCUGACUGUGGCAGGUGGGAAGCUCUGGGAGCUCCAGCUCUGUCCUCUGUCCUUGCAGACACCCAGGGUGGGUGACCACAGCCUAUGAAGUAAGCCAGUCCUUAAUCCAUGGAGCACAUGCCCAGAUACAGGGACAUGGUGCCAUAAUGGACACUCCAAAAUGCCUACUCCCCAUGGUUGGACCAUGUCCAGAUGACGUUUUUUUUUUUUGUUGUUGUUUGUUUGUUUGUUUGUUUUUGAGACAGAGUUUCACUUUUGUCACCCAGGAUGGAGUGCAAUGGCACGAUCUCGGCUCACUGCAACCUCCAUCUCCCGGGUACAAGCGAUUCUCCUGCCUCAGCCUCCCGGGUAGCUGGGAUUACAGGCACGUGCCACCACGCUGGCUAAUUUUUG
rnacentral:lncRNA from 10 species